AUGAAGGACGUCGCUCGCGUCGCCCCGCGGUCGAGGAGAAGGCAGAGGAAGAAGAAGAAGAAGAGGGCGAGGGUGGCCACGCUCCCGAACGACGUCGUCCUCGAUAUCCUGGCGCGCGUCGCGGACGACGUCGUCACGCUCUUCCGCUGCGCCGUGUCGUGCAAGCGGUUUCGAGCCCUCGUGGCCAACCCCUCGUUUCUCCGCCGCCGCUGGCCGGAGGGUGCCCGCCACCCGUGUUCUCUGCUCGGCUUCUUCCAUGACACCUGGAUAUACGGAACGACGGCUUUCGUCCCGGUGCCGCGAUCGCCGCUGGGCCCUUGGUGCCGCUCGCUUGGCUCCUUCUUCCCCAGCGCAGAUGAAUUGUUCCACGACGCGGUUCCACUCGCCUCGCGCUCCGGCCUCCUUCUCGUCUUUCUCCGCACACGCCCCGACUGCACUGAUAUUAUUGAACGCCGACAAAUCCGUCUGGCCGUGUGCAACCCACUCACCGGCGCAUGGGACAAGCUACCUCCGCUACACGAGGUGUCCUCUACCAUGAGCAAUGCCCAGUGCGCCAUUCUAACUGGCAAAGACCACUGCCCCACGGGACAACAACGGCAAAAACCAUUGCCAAGGUACACAACAUUCUUCAAAGUGAUAGUCAUCAUGGUGGAGUAUUCCGGGGGGCCUUACAAAAUCUUCUCUUUCUCCUCCGCUGAGUCGAGCUGGAGCCAACCUAGAAAAUGCUUUGAACAUCUCAAGUACCAGUUCGUCCAUGCCAACCACGUGGUGUCUCGAGGAAAGGUACACUGGCUCAUCCAUUACUCGGGCAACUUUUGCACCCUUGAGCUCUGCGCUGAGACGGGCCACCUCUCCAUAACACAGUUUUCGAUCCCGCCGGAAUUCUUUCAAACCAGCUUUACCCAUGGGCCGGUACUUAGCGUUGCAACUGAUGGCGACAUAUCAUUGAUUUUCCUGCAUAAAACUUUCCUCCGGCUACACAUCUUUACCCAUCGUCAUGGCGACGAAGGGCGUGGCAAUGGCCUUGCUGACGUGCUACACACCGAGGUCAUCGAGCUCAAGCACAAACCCCCGCGGACCAUCGAAACACUCUACAUGUAUCUGGGCGAGAAGAGCGUGGCGCUACUUGUCACAGACCGACGCAGUUUCAUGCGCACUGUCAAUCUCGAUACAGGGACAAUUGAUGUGGUCACGGCCACGUCUGGCAACCUUAAAGAACAGAGCGUCGUGCCUUUCGAGAUUGAUUGGCCAGCCUUCUUCAUGUCUAGCUUGGAGGCUCAUUGA
rnacentral:rRNA from 1 species